CGGGGCGGGCGGGGGAGCGCCGCGUCCCUCGGUCAUGGCGCUGUGCGGCACCAGCGCGGCGGCGGCGGCCGGCCAGCAGCGCCAGAGCGUCGCCAAGCUGAUGGCUUAUAACGGCGCCGGGGCCGCCCACCACCACCAUCAUCACAACCACCACCAUCACCACAACCACCACCAUCAUCACCACAACAACAACAACCAGCAACAGCCACCUCCCCCUCAGUCGCAUCCCCACCAUCCUCAUCUACAUCCCGGGGGUGGUGUUGCCGGUGGAGGUGGUGCAGGAGGAGGAGGCGGCGGCGGCAUCGGUACAGCCGUACACCCGGUCCAACAUCACCACCACCCGGCCUCCGGCGCCGCCUCGUCGUCCUCCUCCUCUUCGUCCUCCUCGUCGGCGGCGGCGGCCGCUGCUGCUGCUGCUGCGGCGGCGGCAGCGGCAGCGGCGAUGCUGAACCCGGCUCAAGCGCCGUAUUUCCCGUCCCCGGCGCCCGCCGCCGCCGCCACGGUGCAAAUCCACGCCGCCGCCGCCGCCAAGGCACAUCAGCUGGACAUCGAGCCCGACAGACCCAUCGGAUAUGGAGCCUUCGGAGUAGUCUGGUCAGUGACAGAUCCUAGAGAUGGAAAAAGAGUCGCACUCAAAAAGAUGCCCAACGUCUUCCAGAAUCUAGUUUCCUGCAAGAGGGUCUUCCGUGAGUUGAAGAUGCUCUGCUUCUUCAAGCAUGAUAAUGUGCUCUCUGCACUUGAUAUACUUCAACCUCCACACAUUGACUACUUUGAAGAAAUCUAUGUUGUCACAGAGCUAAUGCAAAGUGACCUUCACAAGAUCAUAGUGUCUCCACAACCAUUGAGUUCUGAUCAUGUUAAAGUUUUCCUCUACCAGAUUUUGAGAGGGCUGAAGUAUCUGCAUUCAGCUGGCAUAUUACACCGCGACAUUAAACCAGGGAAUCUUCUUGUGAACAGCAACUGUGUCCUCAAGAUCUGUGACUUUGGUCUUGCCAGAGUAGAAGAACUUGAUGAGUCUCGCCACAUGACGCAGGAAGUUGUUACUCAGUAUUAUCGAGCACCAGAGAUCCUAAUGGGCAGUCGCCAUUACACCAAUGCCAUUGAUAUCUGGUCUGUAGGAUGCAUCUUUGCAGAACUCUUAGGUCGUAGAAUCUUAUUUCAGGCACAAAGUCCUAUUCAACAGUUGGACUUGAUCACAGAUCUGUUGGGAACUCCAUCAUUAGAAGCCAUGCGAACAGCUUGUGAGGGUGCCAAGGCUCACAUACUCAGGGGUCCUCAUAAACAGCCAUCACUUCCUGUCCUUUACACGCUCUCCAGCCAGGCUACCCAUGAAGCUGUCCACCUCCUCUGCAGGAUGUUAGUCUUUGAUCCUUCAAAAAGAAUCUCUGCAAAGGAUGCCCUGGCACAUCCUUAUUUGGAUGAAGGAAGGCUUCGGUAUCACACUUGUAUGUGCAAAUGCUGUUAUACCACCUCAACGGGGCGAGUUUACACCAAUGACUUUGAGCCGAUCACCAACCCCAAAUUUGAUGACAGUUUUGAAAAAAAUCUGACAUCUGUUCGGCAGGUUAAAGAGCUCAUUCAUCAAUUCAUUCUGGAACAGCAGAAGGGAAACCGGGUUCCUCUAUGUAUCAACCCACAAUCUGCUGCGUUUAAAAGCUUUAUCAGCUCCACCGUAGCUCAGCCCUCUGAGAUGCCCCCAUCUCCACUGGUAUGGGAGUAAGUGGAAGAAACUACUGAUGACAAAUAUUUUAGGUUCUCACUGGAGUCUAAAUUUGCAGUACCAUUUAUGUCGGGACAAUAAACGGGGGCAAAAAAAAAUACUGAGAGCCUGCUGAGAAACCCGUUUCAAGACUUCUCCUGAAGUUCAUCAUCCUAUGUGACACAUUUGCCGGUCACUUUGUACAAUGUAGAUUUGAAGUACAGUGGUGGAAAUUCAUUAAAUGUGAUAUUUAAAAAAAAUCUGUGGUAUUAGUCAAUUUGUACUACUGUAUAUUCAAACACAAGACUUCAACUUCUAAUUCCCCCCUUUGAUUGUAAUUAAAUGUUAAUUCUCACACAUGCAUCUUUUCCCUUAAGUUUGGUUGUCUUCUGUAAUGAGCUGCAUAAAACAUUUCUGUGUUGCUUCAGUCAUAUACUCCAGAUUUCCAUACGUUCUUUCUGUGAGCAGAUUUUAAAACCACUACUGCACCUUUACAGAACCCUUUGAGAGGAAUGAAUGGUAAAAUGAUGCUGUUUUUUUUCUUCCUCAGAUUGAACUGAGGAAGAUUGGUUAUGGAUUAUAACCAUUAAAUCACAAAUUAAUUCCAAACAGAAAAUGAGCUAUCUAUUCGGACUGAAUAUUUUCAUUAUGUUUGGAGACUUGUUAGUUGUAAUAUAACAUAUUUGGGGUUUAUUCAUUACCAAAGAUUUGCCUUGAAUAUCUAUUUAUAGUGAAAUAAACACUUUUACAAGAAAUUAAAUGACUUUGAUAUUAAACCACAAAAGAAAAUCACAGGCAUCUAUUAAAAAUCGAAAACCCUGGAAGUACUUUGCAGGAUGGCAGGCGUCUGAGAAACAGUGUUAGCAAUUUGAGUCAUUGAUCUUUCGGCAGAAUUUUCCAGAUGCACUAACUUUGCCACAAAUUUUAUUUCAAUAAAUACUGAAAUUGGCUUUGGUUUAGUAUUGUCCUGUGUACCGAGGUACAGUGAAAAGCUUUGUUUUGCAUGGUAUCCAAUCAAAUCGGAUAACACUGCACAUGAACGCAACCAGGUGAAUCCCAACUACAACAGGUAGAACAAAGGGGAGGAUGCAGAGUGCAGAAUAUAAUUCUCAGCAUUAUAGCGCGACAAUAGGUGCAGGAGUAGGCCAUUUGGCCCUUCGAGCCAGCACCGCCAUUCAAUGUGAUCAUGGCUGAUCAUCCACAAUCAGUACCCACUAUUUCAUGCAAUUUCAAAUCGCAGUGGUUCACAGAGUCGUACAGCAUUUCAGCUUGCCUACACCAACCAACAUUUCCAAUCUACACUCGUCCCACCCGUCUGCAUUUGGCCCAUAUCCCCCUAAACCUGUCCUAUCCAUGUACCUGUCUAAUUGUUUCUUAACAUUGCAAUAGUCCCUAGCUCAACUAAUUUCUCUGGCAGCUCAUUCCAUACACCCACCGCCAUUUGUGAAAAAAUUGCCUCUCAGAUUCCUAUUCCAUCUUUCCCUCUUCACCGUAAACCUAUAUCCUCUGGUUCUCAAUUCCCGUACUCUGGUCAAGAGACUCUGCGUCUACCCAAUUUAUUUCUCUCAUGAUUUUUUCACUUUUAAUUGUUUUCUGAAAAGGCCAAGCAAGCCAUUUAGAUUAAGGGCAGUUAGGGAUGGGGAAAUGUAGUUCCUUACAUAUGGUGCCCAGUUAUAAAUUAAUUAAAAUAAAAGAAUUAGCUGCAACAUAUGCAGAAUUAAUUUG